AAGUCGUAACAAGGUUUCCGUAGGUGAACCUGCGGAAGGAUCAUUAAUGAAAUCUUGCCAGUUGGUUGAUGCUGGUGGUGUCAAAGCCACAUGUGCUCGCCUCUGCAUUUUCUUAUCCAUACACCUGUGCACCUUUGGGGGUUUGAUGCGGCAUUCUGUGCAGUGUCAGCCUUCAUCUUACUAUAAACACUAUCUUGAUACAUGAACGUGAUCGUGCCGCAAGGCCAUAAACUUAUACAACUUUUAACAACGGAUCUCUUGGCUCUC
rnacentral:misc_RNA from 1 species